AUGGUGGAGGGCGUGGAUGGCUACACAGGUUGCCCCUCGGCGGCGGACCUCGCGGUGAUCCUCGGCGUUGUCGACGACAAGACGGCUAGCAGGCUGGCCUCGAGCUUGUCCGGCGCCGCUCAGCAUGGAAGUCCGCAGGAGGCGCUGAGACAACACUGUCAUCGUCGUGUCUCAGGAAGAACGAAGGGGCACUGCUAUGGAGAGCUAUCGGCAAGCAGAACAAGGCCUAGAACUGCUGCUACGGGCUCCAUGCUGAGUGGGGGAGAGGCUGGGAAAGAAAUGAAGCGGCCUAAUGGCUGCGGUCGAGAGACGACUGGCAGCGAGCAGAUAGAGGCAACAAAGAAAAGGCAGCCCGCAUGUUAG
rnacentral:rRNA from 1 species